rnacentral:rRNA from 1 species
GACGAACGCUGGCGGCGUGCUUAACACAUGCAAGUCGAACGGAAAGGCCCUGCUUUUGUGGGGUGCUCGAGUGGCGAACGGGUGAGUAACACGUGAGUAACCUGCCCUUGACUUUGGGAUAACUUCAGGAAACUGGGGCUAAUACCGGAUAGGAGCUCCUGCUGCAUGGUGGGGGUUGGAAAGUUUCGGCGGUUGGGGAUGGACUCGCGGCUUAUCAGCUUGUUGGUGGGGUAGUGGCUUACCAAGGCUUUGACGGGUAGCCGGCCUGAGAGGGUGACCGGCCACAUUGGGACUGAGAUACGGCACAGACUCCUACGGGAGGCAGCAGUGGGGAAUAUUGCACAAUGGGCGGAAGCCUGAUGCAGCAACGCCGCGUGCGGGAUGACGGCCUUCUGGUUGUAAACCGCUUUCGCCUGUGACGAAGCGUGAGUGACGGUAAUGGGUAAAGAAGCACCGGCUAACUACGUG